rnacentral:misc_RNA from 1 species
GACGAGGCAAAAUGUUUACAAACCCCAUUUCUUUUCUCGAAGGAAUAUUUAUCGUUUGGCUGAUGACAGUCGGGCGAUUGAUGUUCAACUAUGCCCUAUGUGUAAAAAGGUAAGGUUGGUCUAUGAUUGUCCUGCAGAGGGUUGCCAAGUGAAAGAUGAAGCUAUUAAAGAAUGUAGGGCCUGCUCACUUUGCAUCUUACGGUGUAGUGAAUGUGGGAGAUGUAUAAAUAACACAGAGUAUGUGGAGACUUUUUGUUUGGAAUUGCUUUGUUCUGAUUGCUCUAAGCAGCCUUUGGAGUGCAAAAAUGAGCAGAAGUGCAGCCUUUGAAGUGCCAAAAUGGAGCAGGAGGGGGAGGGGCCGGUUCCUGUGAAGGAGAUGGAAGUGUGACUGCCGAGGAGUAAAUAUAUGUGCUAUCAUCUACUUGUUUAAUUGGAUUAAAGAAAAAAUUAAGCAG